rnacentral:rRNA from 1 species
UACAGAGGUCUCAAGCGUUGUUCGGAUUCAUUGGGCGUAAAGGGUGCGUAGGCGGCGGGGCAAGUCAGGUGUGAAAUCACGGAGCUCAACUCCGGAACUGCACUUGAUACUGCCUCGCUAGAGUACUGGAGAGGAGACUGGAAUUUACGGUGUAGCAGUGAAAUGCGUAGAGAUCGUAAGGAAGACCAGUGGCGAAGGCGAGUCUCUGGACAGUUACUGACGCUGAGGCACGAAGGCCAGGGGAGCAAACGGG